CCUACGGGUGGCUGCAGUGAGGAAUAUUGGUCAAUGGGCGUAAGCCUGAACCAGCCAUCCCGCGUGAAGGAAGACGGCGCUAUGCGUUGUAAACUUCUUUUCCGGAGGAAUAAAAUUUCGUACGUGUACGGAACUGAAGGUACUCCGGGAAUAAGCAUCGGCUAACUCCGUGCCAGCAGCCGCGGUAAUACGGAGGAUGCGAGCGUUAUCCGGAUUUAUUGGGUUGAAAGGGUACUUAUGCGGCUGUGUUGAAAACCUUCAGCUUAACUGGAGACUUGCCAUUGAUACUGUUAGUCUUGAGUACGGUCAAGGUAGGCGGAAUGUGUAAUGUAGCGGUGAAAUGCUUAGAUAUUACACAGAACACCGAUUGCGAAGGCAGCUUACUGGGCCAUUACUGACGCUGAUGCACGAAAGCGUGGGGAGCGAACAGGAUUAGAUACCCGUGUAGUC
rnacentral:rRNA from 1 species